rnacentral:rRNA from 1 species
GGGUCAGUAGGUUGGUCGUGCCACCGGUACGUACUGGUCUCACUGAUUCCUCCUUCCUGAAGAACCGUAAUGCCAUUAAUUUGGAGUUGCGGGGAGACAGGACUGUUACUUUGAAAAAAUUAGAGUGUUUAAAGCAAGCUAACGCUUGAAUACAUUAGCUGGGAAUAAUGAAAUAGGACGAUCGAUCCUAUUUUGUUGGUUUCUAGGAUUGACGUA